UGCAUCGGCCGGGAAUCGAACCAGGGCACCCGCGUGGCAGGCGAGCAUUCUACCACUGAACCACCUAUAC
rnacentral:tRNA from 1 species